AUCACGUGUGCAUGACGUCAGAGCAAGUCAAAAAAAACUGGACACAAAUCUAACCAGCAUGCAUUGCGCACCGAGCUGUUCUACGCGGAGCUGGCUCAUCUCUUACCAACCUAACGAUGACGAUUUCACAGCUUAGCCGUUCUGAGUGUCUGUGACUACACUUCAUUUUUCUGAUAUUUGACACUUGAUAUUUAUAUACGUCUCUCCUCCGGGCUCGUGCCUCCCUGAGAUCCGCUCGUGCAGCCGCCACGUGUUCGCCGACCAGAGGAAGUUAGCCCGCGAGCUAACGGGUCGCCAUGCUUGAAGCAACGUGCUCUCUGGUUUACAGGUCGAGACCUCCAGAAGCCUGCGAAGGUGUCGGAAGAAUGUGGUCUAACUCUGCACGAGGUGUUCAUGGCUGAUCUACGGUCACGAGGAAGAAUGAAGGACUGUUGCAGGUGUUAGAAGAAUGUGGUUGACCUCUACACAAGGUGUUCAUGGCUGAUCUACGGUCACGAGGAAGAAUGAAGGACUGUUGCAGGUGUUAGAAGAAUGUGGUUGACCUCUACACGAGGUGUUCAUGGCUGAUCUACGGUGAUGAGGAAGGAUGAAUGACUGUUACAGAUGAUUCAUCGCCUGCUUUGACGUGACUGGUGGUCUCGUUGAAGGUGUCUGGCUUUGGAAGACGCUGCCAUCUUAACGACGAGGGUGUUAGUUAGUCCAGGUUUGAUGUCGAUCUCUUCAGGGGAACGGGACACCUGGGACCACUGCAGGUGUUCAUGGCUGAUCUAAGGUGGCGAGGAAGGAUGAAGGACUGUUGCAGGUUUCUGGCUUUGGAAGAUGCUGCCAUCUUAACAAUGAGGGUGUUUGUCCAGGUGUUAGAAGAAUGUGGUUGACCUCUACACGAGGUGUUCAUGGCUGAUCUACAGUGAUGAGGAAGGAUGAAGGACUGUUGCAGAUGAUUCAUCGCCUGCUUUGACGUGACUGGUGGUCUCGUUGAAGGUGUCUGGCUUUGGAAGACGCUGCCAUCUUAACGACGAGGGUGUUAGUUAGUCCAGGUUUGAUGUCGAUCUCUUCAGGGGAACGGGACACCUGGGACCACUGCAGAGUCCAGCUGAUCUGCUGCCGACUGCUUGGAGCUUUACGGUUUGAUGUCGAUCUCUUCAGGGGAACGGGACACCUGGGACCGCUGCAGGUAGGGUCCAGCGUCUGGACAAACUGAGACUUCCUUGCUAGUGUUGUCUGACCUCUGCGUUCCCUGUUUCUGGCUUUGGAAGACGCUGCCAUCUUAACAAUGAGGGUGUUUGUCCAGGUGUUAGAAGAAUGUGGUUGACCUCUACACGAGGUGUUCAUGGCUGAUCUACGGUGAUGAGGAAGGAUGAAGGACUGUUGCAGAUGAUUCAUCGCCUACUUUGACGUGACUGGUGGUCUCGUUGAAGGUGUCUGGCUUUGGAAGACGCUGCCAUCUUAACGACGAGAGUGUUGGUCCAGGUUUGAUGUCGAUCUCUUCAGGGGAACGGGACACCUGGGACCGCUGCAGAGUCCAGCUGAUCUGCUGCCGACUGCUUGGAGCUUUACGGUUUGAUGUCGCUCUCUUCAGGGGAACGGGACACCUGGGACCGCUGCAGAGUCCAGCUGAUUUGCUGCCGACUGCUUGGAGCUUUAAGUUUCUGGCCAGAACUGUGACGUCUUCAUCAGAGUCAUCUCGUGCUGCUGGAGACAUGAUUCUGUUUUACUUGGAUUUAUAUUAACUGGAAAAAUAAAAGUUUGCUUUUAAAAGGG